GAUGGACCCGCGGUGCAUUAGCUAGUUGGUGAGGUAACGGCUCACCAAGGCAACGAUGCAUAGCCGACCUGAGAGGGUGAUCGGCCACAUUGGGACUGAGACACGGCCCAAACUCCUACGGGAGGCAGCAGUAGGGAAUCUUCGGCAAUGGACGAAAGUCUGACCGAGCAACGCCGCGUGAGUGAAGAAGGUUUUCGGAUCGUAAAACUCUGUUGUUAGAGAAGAACAAGGAUGAGAGUAAAAUGUUCAUCCCUUGACGGUAUCUAACCAGAAAGCCACGGCUAACUACGUGCCAGCAGCCGCGGUAAUACGUAGGUGGCAAGCGUUGUCCGGAUUUAUUGGGCGUAAAGCGAGCGCAGGCGGUUUCUUAAGUCUGAUGUGAAAGCCCCCGGCUCAACCGGGGAGGGUCAUUGGAAACUGGGAAACUUGAGUGCAGAAGAGGAGAGUGGAAUUCCAUGUGUAGCGGUGAAAUGCGUAGAUAUAUGGAGGAACACCAGUGGCGAAGGCGGCUCUCUGGUCUGUAACUGACGCUGAGGCUCGAAAGCGUGGGGAGCAAACAGGAUUAGAUACCCUGGUA
rnacentral:rRNA from 1 species